rnacentral:rRNA from 1 species
UAGGGGAGCGUUCUGUAAGCCUGCGAAGGUGUACUGUGAGGUAUGCUGGAGGUAUCAGAAGUGCGAAUGCUGACAUAAGUAACGAUAAAGCGGGUGAAAAGCCCGCUCGCCGGAAGACCAAGGGUUCCUGUCCAACGUUAAUCGGGGCAGGGUGAGUCGACCCCUAAGGCGAGGCCGAAAGGCGUAGUCGAUGGGAAACAGGUUAAUAUUCCUGUACUUGGUGUUACUGCGAAGGGGGGACGGAGAAGGCUAUGUUGGCCGGGCGACGGUUGUCCCGGUUUAAGCGUGUAGGCUGGUUUUCCAGGCAAAUCCGGAAAAUCAAGGCUGAGGCGUGAUGACGAGGCACUACGGUGCUGAAGCAACAAAUGCCCUGCUUCCAGGAAAAGCCUCUAAGCAUCAGGUAACAUCAAAUCGUACCCCAAACCGACACAGGUGGUCAGGUAGAGAAUACCAAGGCGCUUGAGAGAACUCGGGUGAAGGAACUAGGCAAAAUGGUGCCGUAACU